UGCAGUAUGGGAGCUCAAAGAGCAGAGGCGUGCAGCAAUAAAUGAAUGCAAGUCAAAACAUUGACGGCAUUAAUCUUCUUCUUAACGAUGGAUCAGCUGAUUUACAAAGUCUGCGUGAAGGUUAUCAGCUAAACUCCAGAACACGCCGAUGCGCUGAGAUCUGGUUUAUCCACGUCUAACCCUUCGAACCGGAGUCGGUACGGAGACGGGGACUGAAGCACACAGACAGAGUCUCCAGCUGAGGGAGGAGGUGCUGUUUGAGACAGGAGGACGGUUUUGUCUCUGUGUUUGGGGCUGAGGACUCAGACAGCAGAGCUGAGAUAAUGGAUUGACCUCUCGUCUGCCCGCGCAGAGUGGCUGCAUUAUAGCAAAGCCAGUGUGAAUAAAAGAAAAGAUGGUUAUUUUUAGACGCCCGAUUGAAAUGCUGAAGGAAUCUGCCACCGGGAUCAGAGUGCAGAGCUGUGAGGAGAUAAAAUCAUCUUGAAGGGAAGAAAAGAAAGAAGGUGGAGGAGCAGCAGCAGAGAGGAGGAGGAGGAGGAGGAGGAGGAGGAGGUGGAGGAGGAUGUAAACAUCUUCAGCUUCAGCCUGUGGGGCUGCUGUCUGCGUUUACAAGGAAACAACAAUACACACAUUUCUAAAAGCAGAUCCAUCAUUUACAUAAAUUAUAGAUUAAUCCAGAUUAAUUAGCAUUUAUAUUUGAAUGAGGGUUUAAAAGCUUUAAGGGUUUAUUUUGAUUAUUUACUCUGACUCCUCUGAUCACUGCCAGGCUGCUCCUGCUCCUCCUGUGCCUCCUCCUCCUGCUGCUGCUCCUC